rnacentral:rRNA from 1 species
CAGCCGUAAACUAUGCGCGUUAGGUGUAUCGGUGACCACGAGUCACCGAGGUGCCGAAGGGAAACCGUGAAACGUGCCGCCUGGGAAGUACGGUCGCAAGGCUGAAACUUAAAGGAAUUGGCGGGGGAGCACCGCAACGGGAGGAGCGUGCGGUUUAAUUGGAUUCAACACCGUAAAACUCACCAGGGAAGACUGUUACAUGAAGGCCGAGAUGAAGACUCUGCUAGAUUUUCAGAGAGGUGGUGCAUGGCGUCAGUGACU